AGAAAGGAAGAAGGGCAGUGCUAUUUCAUGGUCAGGUAGUUUAUCCUGAGGAAUGUGUCCAAAAGAGGAAUGUGUGGGAGAGGGACUGGCUAACAAGAACACAGAGUACCUGUGGUGCCUUUUGAUUUACAAGCUUCCAGAAUAAUUUCAGUGAAAAUGCACACCAAUCUUCCAAGGAAAUAGAGAACAUGAAAAGAGAGAUUGCAUUUUUAUUUGGG
rnacentral:lncRNA from 1 species